GCCAUCUUGGCCUUCACAGAAGAUAACCCUAUGGGGUGGCUCAGUUUGAACCAGGAAACCAUGCAUGAGUAACAAACUUCGCAAGUCUCAUGCUGGUGAUAGGAAGAGAAUAUCUGCAAGGCUCACCUUUCAGAAGACGGAAAAAAAGAAACAAAAAAAUUAUUUUUGUGAAUAAAGUCUGAGCAACUGGGGAGAAACUCAAGUGACAUGAAUCUCUACUCCAUUCUACAUGGAAUAUUUCUGAUCUAAUUCUAAUAGCCCCUACAUUUCAAAAGAUGGAUACAAACACCAGAUGGAUGUUACAAGAAAAUUGGAUUGUUCUGCAGUGAAUGAUAUAUGGAAAGGCCUUUUCCCAACCAAGCAGUAGGCAAAAUUGUAACAGUAAUAUGUGUUGGAAAUAAAAUGGCUCAGGGAUCAGAGGUGACACUGACUCUUGUAAAGUGUGAAAUUGUUCCUUCUGUUGGGCAGAAUGUGGAUUAAACAAAGAAAGGAACAUGAACAGUUUGAUGUUUAUUAAUUAUAUUAUCUGCCUCAAUUCUCUAUCUGUAAUAUAGCAAUAAGAUUCUG
ensembl:lncRNA